CCUCAUUCUGGCUCUGUGCUCUUCCUGGUCCCCGUGUCUGGGGACGCAGGAGGGCAGGGAGCGGAACCAUUACUCUUGCUGCCAUCCUUCCUUCAGAAUGCCGUUUUCCAACAAUUGGCUCUGACUGUCUCAGCGGACCCAUCUCCCUGGGAGGCCACGUUCGGAGUGUUCUGGUCGCCAGCCACCCGGCCUCGCCAGCUGUCUGCAGGAAGGCCCCUGUGUCACGUCCUUCCUGCCGCUCUCGCCGCCUCCCUCCUCCCAGUGCUGUGGGGCCCAGCAUCACGCCUGCGCUGCCUGCUGGUCCAUUGUCUGCUUCCAUCCCCAGAGCUUGGUCUUUCUCUCUAGGUUAGAGUUUUGAGCCCUGAGAUGUCAACGCGCUGACCUCCAAGGAGGAAAGGGAGGCUGCAGACUGAAGUCAAACAAGUGGCCAGUGGCUCCAUCAAUCACGACCGCACAAGAAGAAACCCCAAGAAAAACUCUGGACACAGAGGCUCAGGUGUCACACACAGAAGUGGAAUUCAGAGCCUGCACACUGGAAUGCUUCCCCUCUGCUGCCCAAACAGAAAAUUCGACACACAAAAAGUAAAGACGACGUCCAUGUUCUGAUCCACACCUUAACCAUAAGGAGCCGCCGUCAUGGGUCAUGCGUUAUGCUCAAUCUAGUGAAUACAAACUGAAUACAUCAUGACCGCUGUUGUCCACGAGGCCAGAGCAGUGUUACUCCCGGGGAAAUGGGACCUGUACAUAAGAUGAUUUGUAAUGCUGCCUUGGCAUCUGCUAAAUGCCAAGUAAGAGGGUAAACAAUAAGGAAUAAAGGUGUUCUGAAGUUCAUUGUGGUCUGAGAUGAUUUAGGCUGGCUUCACA